CUCCUUAAAUUGCUUAGGGCUUCACUAAGUUGCUGAGGCUGGCCUUGAAUUUGCAAUCCUCCUGCCUCAGAUUCCUGAGCCAUUAGGAUUACAGGCAUUAUAGGUGUGCUGGAUUUUUGUACAGUAUGGCCUAUUUAUCUGAAUGUGCAUGCUAGUUUAAUGUAAUUGUUUUAUGUGUUUAUUUAUCUGUUAGUGUGUGUUUAUGUAGACUGACUUGAUAAAGGAAAAAAAAAAUAUGAUGGCUGGCAAUGACGAUCCCUACUGGAAAUUUGUUCGACUUACAAUUCUUGGUUUAUUCUGAGCUGGUUAAUUUGAAUAUUUUUUUGUUUCAUAAACUUUGUCAGAACAUUGUUGGAUAACAUAUUUUGUCUUUUUUCCUCACAAUCCAUUAUGUAAAUUUGCCUUUUUGCUUUAUGUCUCUUUCUCCUAAUCAUUGCAAACUUGCACAUUUUAGUUCAAAACCACUUACUCUGAAGGUUGCAAUUUUGGGAGAAAGGAGACCUCUGUUAAAAUGGGAAACAAAUUCAAGGGGGGAGAGUGUUUGGAGGAAAAAAAAAUCUGGUACUCCAGGUGGUUUUAUGUUUGAUGAUUGCAAUGCCUCAAAUUGCAAGUAUUAAAAAAUAUGGAACAUUUAAUAUCUUAAACUGGUUUUCUUAUGGGCUGGUCUAGAGUCCUUAGGCAGUAAGAUAAAAGCAAAAUAUAUAUAUAUAUAUAUAAAUUCUGAUACAAUGGGACAUAUUUUAAAAUUUAAGCAAACUCUUUCUCAAAAGACUAAAACCUGUGAUAAAUUAAAGCAGGAAGAAAAAGUGUUGGAAAGCUUACAGCAGGCUUUCUCAUGUUAGAUGGGCCUAGAAAGUGCCCCUUGCCUUUCUCUUGGAAGGGCUAUAUCUGACUAGAAAAUAGGUUAGGUCAGAAGGACUUAUCAACUAGAUCUCCAGUAUAUGAUUUUUUAAAUCCUUUACAAAAAAUGCUGUGUGCUAUUGAUCAGCUCUUCAAAUAGGGAAAAAUGUUAUCUUAAGCCUGCAUAACAAGCCUCACCUUUAAAAUUUUCGCUUCCACUGGACAUUUGCCUUUACCCUUCUCAAUGAUGUUUAGAUUAAAUUCUGUGUCUUUGGGAUGUAAAUAUUCCACUUUGUUUCAACCAAGUUAUAUCUUUGGAAGUGCAGGUUUAAAGUUAGGAAUUGUUUAUGACUAUGGUAAUUGUAUCAACAGACUGAUUUGAAAAAAUGACAAAUGAUGAUUCUAAAUGAAAUUUUUAUUUUCUGUCAUUUUUAUGUAUGUUUGUGUACAUGUAAUUGUGUCUACAUGGUACCAAAUUGGCUGAUAAAUAAAUGAGUACUCAUAAAUUUUUAAAAGACACAAAUCCAAUGACUUAUUUGUUCACAUGACUUAGAUAAAUAUUUUUUUAAAAAAUACUUUUUAAUUGUCAAGGGAUCUUUUUAUUUUAUUUAUUUACUUUUACUUAUGUGGUGCUGAGGUUCGAACCCAAGACCUCAUGAAUGCCAGGCAAGUGCUCUACCACUGAGCCACAGCUCCAGCCCACUUAAAUAAAUCUUAGAUAAAUGAGUUAAUUUAAAUUUUUGGUAAGACAUCUUUAAAAUUAUUCAAUGCACUUUUUUUUUUGUCUAGGUUACUAAACAUUUGGGAUGAUAUUUAUGUUUAAAGUAGGGACUGGGGUUAUGGCUCAGUGGUAGAGUGUUUGCUUCGCACAUGCAAGGCUCUGGGUUUGACCUUCAGCUCCACAUAAUAAAUAAAUAAAUAAAUAAAUAAUAAAGAAAGAAAGAAAGAAAAAUGUUUAAAAUAUACUGUCUAUUGCUUUUAGGGUUUUUAUGGGGUGGGACAGGAAAAAUAUCUUAAAAUAUUAACUCUGCUUGUCUGAUAUUUUGGUUUUUAGGUUAAUAUAAAAGAGCUGUUAAAAAUUUGGGUUAAUUAGAUUUUAUAUAAAUGGGAUAAACAUGUAUAAACAUAUUUGUUAGAAGAAAACAUCUGUGUCAUUUGUAAGUUAAAAUACCGAAAAAUCAAUUGCUAAAUAUAAAUACAAGCACUCUUGGUCUCUUAAAUUCCAUAAGAAAAAAUGAAUAUUUGGUCUAUUAAAUGUGU
rnacentral:lncRNA from 1 species